rnacentral:rRNA from 1 species
UACGUAGGGUGCAAGCGUUGUCCGGAAUUAUUGGGCGUAAAGAGCUCGUAGGCGGUCUGUCGCGUCGAAUGUGAAAACCCGGGGCUCAACCCCGGGCCUGCAUUCGAUACGGGCAGACUAGAGUUCGGUAGGGGAGUCUGGAAUUCCUGGUGUAGCGGUGAAAUGCGCAGAUAUCAGGAGGAACACCGGUGGCGAAGGCGGCAUUCUGGACCGGUUCUGACGCUGAUGCGCGAAAGCGUGGGUAGCAAACAGG